UUGGUGCUUGCACCAGAUGACGAGUGGCGCACGGGUGCGUAACGCGUAUGCAACCUACCUUUUACUAGAGUAUAGCCCAGAGAAAUUUGGAUUAAUCCUCUAUAAUAUCUUUUAAUUUCAUGAUUAAUUGAUUAAAGUUUUAACGGUAAAAGAUGGGCAUGCGUCCUAUUAGUUUGUAGGUGAGGUAACGGCUCACCUAGACUACGAUAGGUAGGGGCCCUGAGAGGGGGAUCCCCCACACUGGUACUGAGACACGGACCAGACUCCUACGGGAGGCAGCAGUAAGGAAUAUUGGACAAUGGACGAAAGUCUGAUCCAGCCAUGCCGCGUGCAGGAUGAAAGCCCUAUGGGUUGUAAACUGCUUUUAUACAGGAAGAAACACUCCGACUUGUCGGAGCUUGACGGUACUGUAAGAAUAAGGAUCGGCUAACUCCGUGCCAGCAGCCGCGGUAAUACGGAGGAUCCAAGCGUUAUCCGGAAUCAUUGGGUUUAAAGGGUCCGC
rnacentral:rRNA from 1 species